UUGUUAAAUGUUAUAAUUCUAGAUGUUUAUUUAAAUGCUGCGUGCCUUUUGACGUGUUCUAUGGUUUCAAUAUGGGCGUACGUGCGCGAGUCGCAUUCAAAUCUGAUUCAAAGACAGGAGCGCGCGCGAGCAGAUGGAAACCAUGGAAACGAGGAAACCCAUCAACUGACAAACAGCAAACUAGCGUCUCUCACUGUUGUUUUCUCUGCUUUCAGAUCAUCAUAGAUGUCCUGCUGCACCCCCUGGGGUCCAAGACAAUCUCCACGGCUAUGACCUCGACUAUAGGGGUUAUGGCUGUGCUCUUGUUACCAGAUGAGAUAUCAUUUGAUCCUGUGAUUCUUCAGGACAAGAUCUUGAUGCCAUCCACACCCAGUACAUGACGAAGGUUUUCUGGGAUCCACAGUGGAAGGCAUCAAGGCGUGAGAUGUUGGCUGGACAGAUGUA